AGAAAGAUAGUAAAUACAAUGUAAUACAUGAAAUACAGCGAGAUAUAUUGAAUUACAGUGAAAAAAGAUAAUGAAUAUAAUGAAAUACAUACAAAUAUAGUAUGAUACAUUAAAAUUACAUUGAAAUACAUGAAAAUGAGACUUUUCUGUGAACUGAUAAAACUGUGUCGGUGGAACGGCAUGAAGGACUAGAAUUUUCUUGACGCAGGAAAAUUAACGGACGAAGAAUUGAAUGUGAGUUGAUGGACGAGAUAUGUAAAACAGAAUGUCAAACUCACAGGAUAUGUAAUAAUUAGUAAUUAAUAAUUAGGUAAUAAUCAUAGAACUGAAUGUGAGUUGACUCCUUCCCUGACUUCAUCUUCACUGUCUUUUCUCUUUUCGUUUCUUCUCUUAUGCAAAUCCCAC
rnacentral:lncRNA from 1 species